GGUAUCAGCGCUUUCCUGGUUCCCAUGCCAACUCCUGGGCUUACGCUGGGCAAAAAGGAAGACAAGCUGGGCAUCCGGGCCUCAUCUACAGCUAACCUCAUCUUUGAGGACUGUCGCAUCCCCAAGGAGAACCUGCUCGGCGAGCCUGGGAUGGGCUUCAAGAUAGCCAUGGUGAGCCUGGCUACAGGGCAGCACCCUGGGGCCAGGCCUUGGGCCCAGCCUACAGCUACUGACUGGGCGGUCCCCACAGCAAACCCUGGACAUGGGCCGCAUUGGCAUCGCCUCCCAGGCCCUGGGUAUUGCCCAGGCCUCCCUGGAUUGUGCCGUGAAGUACGCCGAGAACCGCCAUGCCUUUGGGGCACCCCUCACAAAGCUCCAAAACAUCCAGUUCAAGCUGGCAGACAUGGCCCUGGCCCUGGAGAGUGCCCGCCUGCUGACCUGGCGCGCCGCCAUGUUGAAGGACAAUAAGAAGCCUUUCACCAAGGAGUCGGCCAUGGCCAAGCUGGCUGCAUCAGAGGCUGCUACUGCCAUU
rnacentral:lncRNA from 1 species